rnacentral:tmRNA from 2 species
GGGGGCGAUACGGCUUCGACGGAGGUAUACAACCGCGGGAUGCAUGUCGAGCACCAUCGACUCGUAAAUCCGAUGGAACAAACCAUAACUGCGGAUACGCAGCUCGCUCUCGCUGCCUAAGGGUAGCGACGUUCAACCCGUUCUAGCCUGUGAGGCGGGAUUGAAUGUCAUUUCAGCAGGCUGGUCGUAACGUGCCGUGCCGACGCGGAACGAUGAGACGUUUUCGGGGCUAGUCAGUAGCAAUUUCGGCGGCUCUUCAACGCUACUGGCAAACUUUCAAGAGCCGACACACAUGUAGAGUCCCACGGGUACGUGCUUUCGGACGCGGGUUCGACUCCCGCCGCCUCCACCA